rnacentral:rRNA from 1 species
GUUGACGAAACCUGGCGGCAUUCAUCCGAAUGUUAUGCUGGUUGCUGGUGUUGUCGACUGCUCCUUUUACGGGGGGUGGCGAUUUCGCUGGUGAUUUCAGUGUGAUGGCCGGUGUAUUUGCCGUUGGUAUGCACUGAGAGGUUCGCUGUGGUGCGCUAACGCUGAUUUGAAGAGGACCAGGCUCGCCUGAGUGUGGAAACCUUUAACAGUUGAAGCGUAUUCAUGGUGGAUUAGUGUCGCAAGGUAGCGCCCGUUAUGGCGCAACGGUUGCUGUGUGGCUGAUGUAACUAUUGGGCGGUCGCAUGCGACUUGCCUAUAGUUGACGUUGACCCAUUGGUGGCUUUGUUGCGUUGGCGUGACCAUCUCGGUGUGAAAGUCGACCACCUAUCCGACCCGUCUUGAAACACGGACCAAGGAGUUUAGCAUAUGCGCAAGUCAUUGGGUGGUAAACCUAAAGGCGUAAUGAAAGUAAAGAUCGCUUUAAGCGGUUGAUAUGGGAUCCGUAUGGUUUUGGCCAUGCGGCGCACCAUAGCCCCGUCCCCCGUUGCUUGCAAUAGGGCGGAGGUAGAGCGCAUACGCUGAGACCCGAAAGAUGGUGAACUAUGCCUGAGCAGGAUGAAGCCAGAGGAAACU